CUUUUGCUGGCGACCGGCGCACGGGUGAGUAACACGUAUCCAACCUGCCCUUUACUCGGGGAUAGCCUUUCGAAAGAAAGAUUAAUACCCGAUAGCAUAAUGAUUCCGCAUGGUUUCAUUAUUAAAGGAUUCCGGUAAAGGAUGGGGAUGCGUUCCAUUAGGUUGUUGGUGAGGUAACGGCUCACCAAGCCUUCGAUGGAUAGGGGUUCUGAGAGGAAGGUCCCCCACAUUGGAAUGAGACACGGUCCAA
rnacentral:rRNA from 1 species